AUUGAACGCUGGCGGCAGGCCUAACACAUGCAAGUCGAGCGGAUGAAGGGAGCUUGUUCUUGGAUUCAGUGGCGGACGGGUGAGUAAUGCACAGGAAUCUGCCUGGUAGUGGGGGCUAACGUCCGGAAACGGGCGCUAAUACCGCAUAGGUCCAGAGGGAGAAAGUGGGGGAUCUUCGGACAUCACGCUAUCUGCUGAGCCUAGGUCGGAUUAGCUAGUUGGUGGGGUAAAGGCCUACCAAGGCGACGAUCCGUAACUGGUCUGAGAGGGUGAUCAGUCACACUGGAACUGAGACACGGUCCAGACUCCUACGGGAGGCAGCAGUGGGGAAUAUUGGACAAUGGGCGAAAGCCUGAUCCAGCCAUGCCGCGUGUGUGAAGAAGGUCUUCGGAUUGUAAAGCACUUUAAGUUGGGAGGAAGGGCAGUAAGUUAAUACCUUGCUGUUUUGACGGUACCAACAGAAUAAGCACCGGCUAACUUCGUG
rnacentral:rRNA from 1 species